ensembl:snRNA U6 U6 spliceosomal RNA
GUGCUCACUUCAGAAUUACAUAUACUAAAAUUGGAAUGAUACAGAGAAGAUUACCGUGGCCCCUGUGCGAGGAUGACACACGUAUUCAUGAAGCGUUACAUAUUUUU